rnacentral:rRNA from 1 species
GACGAACCGUGCGAACGUUGUUCGGAUUCACUGGGCUUAAAGGGCGCGUAGGCGGCUCAACAAGUCAGGGUGUGAAAGCCCCCGGCUCAACCGGGGAACUGCGCUUGAAACUGUUAGGCUCGAGUCAGCUAGAGGUACACGGAACUUCCAGUGGAGCGGUGAAAUGUGUUGAUAUUGGAAGGAACACCGGAGGCGAAAGCGGUGUACUGGGGCUGGUCUGACGCUGAGGCACGAAAGCCAGGGGAGCGAACGGG